UGCCAAGAAUAUUUCCUGAAUCAGUGGUUCACAAACCUCUCAUUGGGGACCCCCAGUUGUUCCAUGUAUUUGAUCAAUUCCAGAGCUAGCACACCUGAUUCAACUUGUGUACUAAUCAUCAAGUUGAAUCAGGUGAGUAUGUGAAUCAGGUGAGCUAGUUCAGGGCUACAACAACAUUGUGACAUGUCUGGGGGUCCCAGAGGAGAAGUUUGAGAACGGCUCUCCUAAAUACUCUUCAUAGGAAUCAGUUAGUAUGUGCAGUACUGAGAAGUGAUCUAGACUCAUAUCAGUGAAUAGGAGUGGAUCCUGUUUGGUACAUUAGGGUAAGAAAGGCAAAGUCUCUACUAAAGGUUUUACUCCUAAAUAUCCACGUCAACAUUUUCUCUUGACCCUCUCUUUGCAGAACACUGCGCCAUACUCACCUUUUUAGCUCUGGAAGCAAAAUGCAGAGGAUGCUUCAACAGAAACUGAGCUGCAUUCUUGCUUCUGUAAAGAGAGGGAGCCCUGCUUGCCUGUUCUGUAUCAGCAUCAGACAAGGCAGGCCUUUUGUAUGAGGAAGGGAAGUGGGGAGAGACCCCACCAAAACACAAGCCCAGCAUAGAGCCACAUUACCUGCUCCACUGGCUAAAUAGAUCAAUCCAUUUCUGCUCCCACCAUACAAUUAUGUUGUUGACAAUUACAAGUAAAAAG
rnacentral:lncRNA from 1 species